rnacentral:rRNA from 1 species
UACGGAGGGUGCAAGCGUUAUCCGGAUUUACUGGGGUUAAAGGGCGCGUAGGCGGGUUCUCAAGUCUGUGGUGAAAUCCUCCGGCUCAACCGGAGAACUGCCUCGGAUACUGCGGGUCUCGAGGGUGAUAGGGGUAUGCGGAACUAUCGGUGGAGCGGUGAAAUGCGUUGAUAUCGAUAGGAACACCGGUGGCGAAGGCGGCAUCCUGGAUCACUUCUGACGCUGAGGCGCGAAAGCCAGGGGAGCAAACGGG